CAAGAUCAAUCCCAUACUUAACAAGGAAGUUGUCUUAAGUACAUGCAGUUGUCAUUUCAUGUGUCCUUCACUCCCUCCCAAUUAAUUGCAAGUUAGUAUCCGUCUUCAUCAUGUCCACUAGUCCAGCCGUCCCUCCUAUAUUCGUCUUCCAAUUACGAAUAUUUUUUUGGUACGUUUUUUUUGUCCUGAAAUACUAAACUCAGGCCCGGUCCUGAUAUUUUAUGGGUCCGGGUGAAUCAUAAGAACAAGGCCUCUUAUAUUGUUAUAAUAUAUAGAGUACAUUACAUAUACUAACUAGGUAAGAUGCUAUGUUUCCUUCAUUUUUUUUUAAUAAUUCAAAGUGAAUAGUACUCCAUCUGUAUUUUAAAAAAAGAUACAUUUUCCUUAAACGACUGUAUUUUAAAAAGAGACACACUUUCCUUUUUUAACAUAUUUUGAUCCUCUCUUCCACUAUGUUAAUAUUUCUCUUUUUCUUGUAGUCCUCACACUUACUCACAUCAUCUUUUUACUAUAAUAAAUAAUUCACACAAUACCCCACUUUCAUCUUAUUUUAAGACAUUCAACUCACUAUCCUAAAAGUAUGUGCCGAUCAAAUUAUAUUUCUUUUCAAAAUACGGAGGGGGUAUAUGUAUUUUAAAUAGAGUGUAAACCCAAAAUAUUUUUGAAAAUAGAAAUAAUAUUAUGUGCUACGUAUUCCCUAAGAAUCAUUUUCCAUAAAUACAAAAUACACUCCAUAUAAAUUUUAAAAAAUCAAGAAGCAAUUAUAUUGGAGAUUUAGAGUCACUAAGAAAAUCACCUAAAAAAUCAAAGACAAAACAACUCUUCUUAUCAAGUUAUCGACAAAAGAAGCACAUGUUAUACUAGUAAUUCUCGUAAGACCAAUAUAUAGUAAUACACUGUUAAGAAGGAAGAUAAAAACAAAAACAAAAAAAACAGUUGGUAAAUGAAUACAAUUAUACAAGACAAAUUAUACUACGGGUCGUGAUAGAGAAUAGAAUUCUCUUUAAUUUGGAUAUAAAUUAUACACUUAUAGUUACAUUAAGUGUAAGAACUAUGACUAAUAAGAACAAUAAUUAGAACAAGCUUAUCUGUAACAAUGUCGUGGCGUGACACCAAUCACUGCCCUAAAGUCGAAUUUGCCCCGCUAAGUACACGCGGACUCGUAGCAACCGACCCCCAGGGAUACACGACUCCAAUCCUUCGGUGUACGACGAAGAACUAGAUUGAGAACACCCUUAAGCAAUGCCCAGAACAAUGGUGGUUUUGUGUUUUCAUUUCGGAGAAGAGGAAGAUAUUAUUUUUCUGUGUGUAUUUAUCUGGAAGGGAAUGUCGUGUUUUAUAGCCAAAACGGUUAAGCUAAAAACGGAAGCACAAUCAAUUAGUCCUUGAUUGAUUCCGUAACUGAAGCAAUAAAUCGGAAUAAUAUCUUUGACGGAAAUCAAAUCGUCAAAGAAAAUCAAUUAACCGUUACGUCAAUCUUGCAAAGAUUACGUGACCAAAAAUAAUAACGGUUAAGAAAAAGGAGCCCCAUCCACACCCGCGAACGCACCGCGCCACUGCCCUCGCCCGGCCCAGCGCGCGUGUGGUUACUAGUCCCACCUCUCUAGUCUUCUAACAAAUCAUUAAAGGGUAGUGGGAUAUUUAAAUAAGGAAGCAUGUGGGUUUUUUAUCAAUGUGGAACAAUUGAGUUUUUAUUCUUUUGAAGCAUCACUUGAAGAGGAAAACUCCAACAUUAAGUAUUCUAAUAUAAUUAGGAUUAAUAUUUGUAACACUAUAAAUAUGAACAAUAUACUCCAAUUCAGGGAGUUUUUGCAAUAUCCAACAGAAUGCUAAACAAUAUGGAAUAAUGCUCCUCUUAAAAUUUAAUGGGCUACAAGCCACAGACUAUGCAAAUGAAAAUAUUCAUUGCAGGAUUACGCUAGCUGUACUGUAAGUAUGCAAUUCCUUAACUUGCAUAUUAGAAUUAAUUAUAUACUUUUGUAUGUUAAUGUAAAAUACAAAAUCAUGUCCUUUAUCAUAUAUUGUUUCAUGGAACAACUUAAUUAACUAACACUAGUUAAAUUGGUGGGGAACUCACCUUAUGACUUAUCUCUAUCAUAUAAAAGAACAGCUGAGGUUAAUAUAGUAAAUUAACUUUUCGUGUCCCCAAAUUAAAUGUCCAAAAUACCCUCCUCAUCUACACAGCUCAUUCAAUCUGAGGAGCGUACAUUCAACCCUUCCUCCCCGUUUUCCUCCCGUUUUCUCUCUCCUUGGAUCUUCUUCGUCUUCCUCAAAUCCUCUCAUCCCGAAUAGAAUCGUCUACCCUUCCUUCGUUCAUUCCCAUCCUCUCUAGCCCUAAAAAAAACCCCAAAUUUCGAAAACCCUCCCCGCAGCAAAACCUCAAUCCCAAACUCUAACCCUAAAUCAAUGUCGAUCAGCUUGAGAAAAGCCACCACUCGGCUACCUUCCAAAGUAAACCGAGUUCUAUAUGUUCGAAAUCUUCCCUUCAACAUCACCAGCGAAGAGAUGUACGACAUCACCAGCGAAGAGAAGUACAGAGCAAUUCGCCAAAUUCAACAUCACCAGAGAAGAGAAGCUUAUGGAAUGCUGUAAAUCUUUAGAGUGUAUCCAUGACUUCUUUUUUUCAGAGUUGAAGAAUGAUCUGGGUUGUCUUCGCAUAAUUGAAUUUUUGAUUGAAUUUUGGGGAUUACUUUCCAGGUGUUUCGUUCGACCAUUCAGAUAAAGAGCUUUUCUGCCUGGUGAAGUGGCGAAUAUGCCGGCGAAAUUGAACCAGUGUAAGCUUGAUGCUCGCCGUGAACAAUGCCUUUCGCAAGAUUGUUUCUAUUGGUGAGACAAUGGAAUCGUUCAUGGAGCUUCAGACUUUUGAAGAUAGGAUUUUGAGGAAAUUGGCAUACUCACAUGUAUGGAAUUCCUGAGAGCAGGUUGCGUAGGUUGUACUAUGGCUAUCAUGAAGAAUGUUUUAAGGUAUCUUCCGUGUAUCAGAUCUCCUUGAUUUUAUUAGUCCUGAUCAUGAUCCUAAGGGCGGAGAUGCUCAGAAGAAACAUAGGUGUUCAAAGGGAUUCUUUUAUGAAGCAUUUUAUGGAGAAAUGAGCUUGAACGAGGAUCACUUCAAACGGAUAGAAGCAGCGGCAACAAAAGGAGGAACUCAAGAAAUCUUACCAUGAGCUUGAAGGGGUCUUCUCCACCCAAGAAAUCAAGAACUCGAGUUCAAUCGAAGAAAACUCUUACUGCAUCAAUGGCUUCAAAGGCAAUUUCCUACAAAGAAGUUGCCAUGUCACCCCCAUGAACUAUCUUCAAGCCUGUGUAGCAGAAGGAAGAAGUAACUAAUGCAGAAGAAAUCCAGAAAGUUCCUGAAACUUCUUACAAAGUAGUCAGUCCAGUAGGACUGAAGGUAACAGGCAUACCAGGCUUCAACACACCAGUCUCAACACGUCCUACAUGCACAGUUCCAAUACCUCCAAUCUAAUAACCUUAAUUUUUUAAUAUGAACUUUGUGAACAUAUUUUUAUCUAAUUUUAUAUUUAGUGGUUGUAAUACAAUUUAAACUUUUUAUAUAAUCCGCACGUAUCGCUUCCUUCUA